GAUGAACGCUGGCGGCGUGCCUAAUACAUGCAAGUCGAGCGAACAGACGAGGAGCUUGCUCCUCUGACGUUAGCGGCGGACGGGUGAGUAACACGUGGAUAACCUACCUAUAAGACUGGGAUAACUUCGGGAAACCGGAGCUAAUACCGGCUCAUAUAUUGAACCGCAUGGUUCAAUAGUGAAAGACGGUUUUGCUGUCACUUAUAGAUGGAUCCGCGCCGGAUUAGCUAGUUGGUAAGGUAACGGCUUACCAAGGCAACGAUGCGUAGCCGAGCUGAGAGGGUGAUCGGCCACACUGGAACUGAGACACGGUCCAGACUCCUACGGGAGGCAGCAGUAGGGAAUCUUCCGCAAUGGGCGAAAGCCUGACGGAGCAACGCCGCGUGAGUGAUGAAGGUCUUCGGAUCGUAAAACUCUGUUAUUAGGGAAGAACAAAUGUGUAAGUAACUAUGCACGUCUUGACGGUACCUAAUCAGAAAGCCACGGCUAACUACGUG
rnacentral:rRNA from 1 species